rnacentral:misc_RNA from 1 species
CCGAGUUUACAACUCCCAAACCCCUGUGAACAUACCUAUACGUUUGCCUCGGCGGAUCAGCCCGCGCCCCGUAAAAAGGGACGGCCCGCCCGAGGACCCCUAAAACUCUGUUUUUAGUGGAACUUCUGAGUAAAAACAAACAAAUAAAUCAAAAACUUUCAACAACGGAUCUCUUGGUUCUGGCAUCGAUGAAGAAACGCAGCAAAAUGCGAUAAGUAAUGUGAAUUGCAGAAUUCAGUGAAUCAUCGAAUCUUUGAACGCCACAUUGCGCCCGCCAGUAUUCUGGCGGGCAUGCCUGUUCGAGCGUCAUUUCAACCCUCAAGCUCAGCUUGGUGUUGGGACUCGCGGUAACCCGCGUUUCCCCAAAUCGAUUGGCGGUCACGUCGAGCUUCCAUAGCGUAGUAAUCAUACACCUCGUUACUGGUAAUCGUCGCAGCCACGCCGUAAAACCCCAACUUCUGAAUGUUGACCUCGGAUCAGGUAGGAAUACCCGCUGAAACUUAAGCAUAUCAAUAAGCGGAGGAAUCGUAGCCUUGGUCAUUUAGAGGAAGUAAAAGUCGUAAACAAGGUUUUCCGUAGGUGAACCUGCGGAAGGAAUCACUAGUGAUUAAAUCGAGCGUGUCUUCAUUGACCGCUCACCCUUCUCACCAUCCACAUACACCUGUGCACUGUUUAGCCUGAGCCGGUUUUUUCCGGUCCAGGUUAUCAUUUCAUACAAAACUCUAGUCUUAUGAAUGUAAACGUUUUAAUAACAUAAUA